GAACAACAAAAACCUGAAAAAUAAGCACAGAAGAAAAUCCCAGUUUAAAUCCAAUAUCCAUAAAACUACCUCAGAAUCCAAUAUCCGUGCAACUAACUCAGAAUCCAUACACAAUAUAUACAACAACAAUCAUACAAAUUAACAAGAAAAAAAACGCAACUAAAGUAGAUGAGUGCUUGUCGGAGAAGAGAAGACGGCCGAGUAGCAGGGUCGUUCGCGUGGAGGAGAGUAGACCUUUGAGAGGUGAGAGAAAGAGAGAGGGAGCACAACGAACACAUGAGACGGAGCGCGCGAAACUGGACUAGAGGAGGGCUUGAGUGCGGCAGAACAGGAGGUGUGCGACAGAGGAACGAGACGGAAGAGAUGUGCCACAUAAGUUGCAACGCGCGAUGCGUUUAACGGAGGAGGCGAGCUUAAGAAGUGGGGGGACGGCAGAACAGGUUUUGUGUGACAGACAAACAAGACAGAGGAGAUGCGUUGCAAAGCGAGACGCGUUGCUAUGGAGGAGACAAGCUUGAGCAGUAGGGACGGCGGCUAGAGCAGAUGUGACGACGGCGGUGAGACAACAGUGGAUGUGAGCUUUUAUCGAUGGAGAAGGCGGCAGGGGUGAGUAUGGGUAGGGCUACUAAACUGUCCUCAAUGUAUAUGACUUUGGGUGAGGGUGGGUUUAGGGUUUCU
rnacentral:lncRNA from 1 species